GUAUCCGUCCCAGUAUCACCAGUAUCAUCCCAGUGCCACCAGCAUCCAUCCCAGUAUCACCAGUAUCCAUCCCAGUACCAUCCCAGUAUCACCCCAGUAUCAUCCCAGUGCCACCAGUAUCCACCCCAAUCCCACCAGUACCAUCCCAGUAUGACCAGUAUCCAUCCCAGUCCCACCAGUAUCCCCCCCAGUCCCACCAGUAUCCACCCCAGUAUAACCAGUAUCCAUCCCAAUCCCACCAGUAUCAUCCCAGUAUCACCAGUAUCCACCCCAGUAUCACCCCAGUAUCAUCCCAGUAUGACCCGUAUCCAUCCCAGUCCCACCAGUAUCCAUCCCAGUCCCACCAGUAUCCACUCCAGUAUCACCCCAGUAUCAUCCCAGUAUCACCAGUACCAUCCCAGUAUCACCCCAGUAUCAUCCCAGUGCCACCAGUAUCCAUCCCAAUCCCACCAGUAUCGUCCCAGUCCCACCAGUAUCAUCCCAGUAUGACCAGUAUCCCUCCCAGUCCCACCAGUACCAUCCCAGUAUG
rnacentral:lncRNA from 1 species